CAUGCGAGUCAUUGUAGUAAUACAAGGCAGACGGCUCAGUAACGCGUAGUCAAUCUAACCUAUGGACGGGAAUAACCUCGGGAAACUGAGUAUACUGCCCGAUAGAACAUUAUGCCUGGAAUGGUUUAUGUUCCAAAUGAUUUAUCGCCGUAGGAUGGGACUGCGGCCUAUCAGUUUGUUGGUGAGGUAAUGGCCCACCAAGACUAUUACAGGUACGGGCUCUGAGAGGAGUGGCCCGGAGAUGGGUACUGAGACACGGACCCAGGCCCUAUGGGGCGCAGCAGGCGAGAAAACUUUGCAAUGUGCGAAAGCACGACAAGGUUAAUCCGAGUGGUUUCUGCUAAAGGAACCUUUUGUCGGUCCUAGAAACACCGAUGAAUAAGGGGUGGGCAAGUUCUGGUGUCAGCCGCCGCGGUAAAACCAGCACCUCAGGUGGUCAGGAUGAUUAUUGGGCCUAAAGCAUCCGUACCCGGCUUUGUUAGUUUUCGGUUGUAUCUGUACGCUCAACGUACAGGCUGCCGGGUAUACUGCAGAGCUAGGGAGUGAGAGAGGUAGACGGUACUCUGUAGGAAGGGAUUUAUUCCUUGAUCUAUGAUGACUACGUGUGGCGAGGCUGUCUACACAUCACGUCCGACGGUGAGGAUGAAGCUGACGCAGCAAACAGUAUAGAUACGCGGCUAGUCCGAGCUGUAACUAUGCAACUCAGUGAUGCAUUCGUCUUGUGAGCAAUGCAGUGCUGCAGGGAGUCGUUAAGUUUGCGCUGAAGUACGUACGCAGUAUGAAACU
rnacentral:rRNA from 1 species